UCGCCGCGGUAAUACCCGCUCUCCGAGUGGUGGGGACGCUUAUUGGGGCCUAAAAGCAUCCGUAGCCGGCUGGAUAAGUCCCCUGUUAAAUCCAGCGAUUCAAUCGUUGGACUGCGGGGGAUACUGUCCAGCUAGGGGGCGGGAGAGGCCGACGGUAUUCCCGGGGUAGGGGUGAAAUCUUAUAAUCCCGGGAGGACCACCAGUGGCGAAGGC
rnacentral:rRNA from 1 species